UGCAGCGGGAGGCAGCUCUCUGCUCAGCCUGCAGUGCCGAGUGACACAGCCCGGCGACAUAGUCACCGAGCACUAACUUCUAUUAAAUGCAGGCAGACUGUGAGAACCCUAUUGGAACCGCGUCAGGACAUGAGAGAAGCAAAGAAGCCCAACCUCAUCAGUAUCUUUCCUUCGGGCAAAGUGACAAGGCUGGAUAUAAGUCAAUGACUCAAGUGGAUUUGAUUGCGUAAGAGAUGAAUGAUCAGUUUAUCCAGUGACUCACCAAAGUGUGUCCCAACCAAAGUCCACAAUUAUUUUGGCUCCUCGCAUUCAAAGUGGAAUGUUCUGAGAAUCUGGAUGAUCUCUCGCUGAGUGUCUGGGCCACAAGGAACUAUGAUAUUCCAAAUCAGAUGAAUAAAUGAGGUUCAGAAUAUAAUGCCUCCCAAGUCAUUCCUUUGAAUGGUCGACGUCAGAUUCAGGAGUAAAAUUAUAUAAUUACUGAUUCCUAGUCCAAUUUUGGUCUUAGGAUUUCUUCUUUGAGAUGUCGUUGUUGUUUGGGGUGGGAAUGGAGUGGUUAGCUUAUGAGGAACACGCUCACAGAACAUUUUUUCAUUGUGUACUUUUAAAUUAAUAUUGUGUUUUUCAAAGUCCUCAAUUUCAA